CAGCACUUAUCCCACCUAAGACAAUUCCUGAUCCUGAUGAUAAGAAGCCCGAGGACUGGGAUGAGAGGCCUAAGAUUCCAGAUCCAGAUGCUGUUAAGCCUGAUGACUGGGAUGAGGAUGCUCCACCAGAGAUUGAAGAUGAGGAUGCUGUUAAACCUGAAGGUUGGCUGGAUGAUGAACCUGAGGAAAUUGAUGAUCCUGAAGCCACCAAACCUGAAGAUUGGGAUGACGAGGAGGAUGGAGAAUGGGAGGCACCUAAGAUCGAUAACCCAAAGUGCGAAGCAGCACCUGGCUGUGGGGAGUGGACAAGGCC
rnacentral:lncRNA from 1 species